AGGGAGUGGGUGGGGAAAAGGGGAGGUGAGAGAAAGGACAUGGGUGGGUGCCUUCUGCCUGUUGGGAGGAAGAAAGCUCUUCUUAGUGCUGGCCAGGGUCUCUUGCCUCUGGAAGCUGCUGGAAACAGAAUGAUCCAGACACAACCCGAAGCACCAAGAGGUCAGCACAGCAUAUAGGCAUUGAGGUGGCGAGGAUGCGUCCCUGAAAGCUAAGAUGCCAAGACUUGAGCAAAGAAAGGUGAACAUGAGCUGUGUAAAAGCGAAACCAAAUGCAAGUGGUGAACUGUGGGUUUUGAACCUAGAUGGCUAUCAUCCAAACUCAAGUUUUUAGCUAUCACCUAAGAUGAUGGAAGUGAAAUCUGCAGGAUGAGGAGAUGACAACUGGUUGAAGCAGAGGAGGGAAACAUGUUCCAAGACAGAAAGAAGAAGCAAAUGGAUAAACUUUGAAGCAAGAGGGCAGAGGUCUGACAAAAAUUCACUAUGACUGGUGACAGUGUUUAGAUGGAGGUACAAAAGAAGGUGGGUAGUGGCCAUGCCAUCCUGAGGCCUUUAUGAACUUAGUCUUCGUCCUGAAGCCGAUGGUGAUGCACUGAGGUUCGUAAUGAGGAAAAGGAUAUGCUUGGGGUUUUACGUCAUAUUUGAUAUUUUCAGCUACCCAAUAAAGAAGUGAUGGCUUCCAUUUUGCUCAGGGAGCAGAAAGAACUCA
rnacentral:lncRNA from 1 species